rnacentral:rRNA from 1 species
GGGAAGAGCUCAAAUUUAUAAUCUGGCACCUUCGGUGUCCGAGUUGUAAUCUCUAGAAAUGUUUUCCGCGUUGGACCGCACACAAGUCUGUUGGAAUACAGCGGCAUAGUGGUGAGACCCCCGUAUAUGGUGCGGACGCCCAGCGCUUUGUGAUACAUUUUCGAAGAGUCGAGUUGUUUGGGAAUGCAGCUCAAAUUGGGUGGUAAAUUCCAUCUAAAGCUAAAUAUUGGCGAGAGACCGAUAGCGAACAAGUACCGUGAGGGAAAGAUGAAAAGCACUUUGGAAAGAGAGUUAACAGUACGUGAAAUUGUUGGAAGGGAAACGCUUGAAGUCAGACUUGCUUGCCGAGCAAUCGGUUUGCAGGCCAGCAUCAGUUUUCCGGGAUGGAUAAUGGUAGAGAGAAGGUAGCAGUUUCGGCUGUGUUAUAGCUCUCUGCUGGAUACAUCUUGGGGGACUGAGGAACGCAGUGUGCCUUUGGCGGGGGUUUCGACCUCUUCACACUUAGGAUGCUGGUGGAAUGGCUUUAAACGACCCGUCUUGAAACACGGACCAAGGAGUCUAACAUGCUUGCGAGUAUUUGGGUGUCAAACCCGGAUGCGUAAUGAAAGUGAAUGGAGGUGGGAACCGCAAGGUGCACCAUCGACCGAUCUGGAUUUUUAAUGAUGGAUUUGAGUAAGAGCACGUAUGUUGGGACCCGAAAGAUGGUGAACUAUGCCUGAAUAGGGCGAAGCCAGAGG